UUUGCCUGGAGAUCCGAUUUUAUGUGAUACCUAUUAAUAUAGAAAUGUUAGCCUAGAUGUUCAUUGAAAAGCCAAUAAACAUUCAUUGAGUGCUUACUUGGUGCAAGGAAGUUACCUCUCGGGCUGUAUCACAUGAGUUUAUGAAUCUUAUGAUUUAAUCAAAUAAACAGUGGAGGUGGAGAUUUUUCUGUAGAUAGCACUUUCUAAUUAAUCUGUACACAGUUCCCAGGAGUGACUUCCUUCCUUCCAGAGGGCACUGUUUAGUAUCGUUAGUGGUUUUUCACAUCAGUGCCAAAUUUUUUCUUCACAUUGUACUGGAGUUCAAAUCAGAUUUAAUUCUUUACAUUAAUAUAUGAACAGUAGAGGGUAAGUGGUGUUGACCUUGUGGUGAUCCUAACUGCCCGGCAGAUCCUAGCUCAGAGGAUGGACCAGGCUUCAGAUGCACAAGACUUCUUUGGAAUGUUCAUGGAAACUUUAUUUACUCAUUGGUGCUUUCUUUGGUUUCUAGGAAAGACUCUUUUACAGCCCUCAGCACUGUUAUUGCGUGAACUGGCUCAGCAUGGCCGGCCCAGUGAAGGACGCCAGUGGUAGUAACCGGGGAAGAGGGAUCCCCUGGCUCUUCUUACCAAACUUCUUCGAUCGUUUGGAGUGGUUUGGCCAUCAGUUAGUCAGGAAGAGGCCAGAAGGACACGUGCUGAUAAUGCUUCAAGAAAGUUAAACUUUAGGAAAAACUCGACCGAAGUAAAAAUAGCUAUGUAGUCAGUGACCAAAGCUACUUGGAUGGUCCUGUUGAUUGCUCUUGUGCAUUUUAUCACACGAAUACAGGCUUUCCCCUAAAAGUUGAAAAUAAAGAAGGGAAAUGUGAUGAAUGGCA
rnacentral:lncRNA from 1 species